rnacentral:rRNA from 1 species
UACGUAGGGAGCAAGCGUUGUCCGGAAUCAUUGGGCGUAAAGCGCGUGUAGGCGGUCCGGUAAGUCCGCUGUGAAAGUCGGGGGCUCAACCCUCGGAUGCCGGUGGAUACUGUCGGGCUCGAGUACGGAAGAGGCGAGUGGAAUUCCUGGUGUAGCGGUGAAAUGCGCAGAUAUCAGGAGGAACACCAGUAGCGAAGGCGGCUCGCUGGGCCAUUCCUGACGCUGAGACGCGAAAGCUAGGGGAGCGAACAGG